AUUCAUCAAAACAAUAUUGACACAAAAAAAAUUCACUGCUACUAUCAUGGCGAGGUGGAGGGUCACCCGGGGUCAGAGGUCAGCCUCAGCACCUGCACAGGACUCAGGGGACUGAUUUCACUUGAACAUGAAGUGUAUGUACUGGAGCCGAUGGAAGAGGGAAACACACACCGUCUUUACAGAGGAGAACAUCUUAAACUCACCCAGGGAACCUGCGGACACGGUCACAACAUUUCAUACCCUACAGAGAUGAUGAACACUACUGGAGCCGUCUUCAGCUCUCACAGCAGCCAGAGGCAUAAAAGAGACGCUCAGAGCAGCACCAAGCAUGUGGAGUUGAUCAUCGUCGCAGACAACCGCGAGUAUCAGAAACAGGGGAAAGACGUGGAGAAAGUGAAACAGAGGCUUGCUGAAAUAGCGAACUACGUGGACAAGUUUUACAGAUCGCUGAAUAUCCGUGUGGCUCUGGUGGGGCUGGAGGUGUGGAGUGACGGAGACAAAUGCUCCAUCACACAGGAUCCGUUCACAUCGCUCCACGAGUUCCUGGACUGGAGAAAAGUCAAGCUGCUCCCGCAGAGACCCCAUGAUAACGCUCAGCUCAUCAGUGGCGUUUACUUCCAGGGCACCACCAUCGGCAUGGCUCCCAUUAUGAGCAUGUGCACUGCGGAACAGUCAGGGGGCAUCGUCAUGGAUCACUCUGAUAACCCUCUCGGCGCUGCGGUUACUUUGGCCCAUGAGCUCGGACACAACUUCGGCAUGAACCACGACACACCGGAGCGCGGCUGCGGCUGCAGAGCCACCAUGGACCGCGGCGGGUGUAUCAUGACCCCCUCCACUGGGUAUCCUUUCCCUACAGUCUUCAGUACGUGCAGUAAGAAGGAUCUUGCGGCGAGUUUGGAGAAAGGUGUGGGCAUGUGUUUGUUCAACAUGCCAGAGGUGAAGGUGCUCUACGGAGGCCAGAAAUGUGGAAAUGGAUACGUCGAGGAGGGAGAGCAGUGUGAUUGCGGAGAUGAGUGUCUGAAUCCCUGCUGUAAUGCCAGUACAUGCACACUGAAGGACGAAGCCGUAUGUGCGCAUGGACAGUGUUGUGAAGACUGUCAGUUGAAGCCUGCAGGGACUCGGUGCCGUGAGUCCAGUAACUCCUGUGAUCUGCCGGAGUUUUGCACGGGUGCCGAUCCUCACUGUCCCGCUAAUGUCUACCUGCACGACGGACACACCUGUCAGGGUGUGGAUGGACACUGUUACAACGGCAUCUGCCAGACACACGAGCAGCAGUGCAUCACACUGUGGGGACAGGGUGCAAAACCAGCUCCAGGUAUCUGUUUCGAAAGAGUCAACUCGGCGGGAGAUCCGUAUGGAAACUGUGGAAAAGAUUCAAAGGAAUCAUUUGCCAAAUGUGAAGCGCGAGAUGCUAAAUGUGGGAAGAUCCAGUGUCAGGGCGGAGCCAAUCGGCCAGUGAUUGGCACCAAUGCCGUCUCCAUAGAAACCAAUAUCCCGCUCCAGGAAGGAGGCCGUAUCCUCUGCCGCGGGACUCAUGUGUACCUGGGAGACGACAUGCCGGAUCCGGGCCUCGUGCUCACCGGCACCAAGUGUGGAGAAAACAUGAUGUGUAUAAACAGACAGUGUCAGAACAUCAGUGUGCUCGGGGUUCACGACUGUUCGGCCAAGUGCAGCGGACACGGGGUUUGUAAUAAUAAUAAGAACUGUCACUGUGAGUCACUCUGGGCUCCUCCGUUCUGUGAUAAAGCUGGGUUUGGAGGCAGUAUGGACAGCGGCCCGAUGAGACCAACAGACAGCAGCAGUGUGACGGUGGGCAUCCUGGUGGCGUUUCUGUGUCUGCUGUGUGUUGGAAUAAUCCCCCAGUCUCCUCUCCAGACGGUGGACUCUGUGGUCCCGUCUCAUGGUCUCCGCCGGCUGCCCCCGUGCCCUCCGGUCCACCUCUCUCACCCGCUGCCGCUGGCACUUGGCCUUCCACUGACACCACCACACACACACUCGUCUCCACCCAGAGCCCCUCCACCAGCACUCACACACACAUACACAUCCGCUCCAGCAGUGGGAACGGCCGGCCGUGGCCUGGCCUGCCAGAAUGUCUGCAAGAUCGCCAUGGUGAGUGGAAAUAUGCCAGCGCUGUAG
ensembl:lncRNA disintegrin and metalloproteinase domain-containing protein 12-like